CAUCUUCAUAUGCACACAUACAACCACUACACCUAGUGCAAACAUCCACACAUAUCUUACAUGCACACCUACAUUUGCAGCAACAGGGACACAACAAAACAAAAGAAAAACUAGAUUAACAUCUACUGGUCUCACAUGCACUGCUAUAGUUGUUGCUAGCAGCAACAUUUCACAGCAAGGAACACAAAAAAAAAAUAGAACA
rnacentral:lncRNA from 1 species